rnacentral:rRNA from 1 species
GGGUUGUGAGGUUAAGCGACUAAGCGUACACGGUGGAUGCCCUGGCAGUCAGAGGCGAUGAAGGACGUGCUAAUCUGCGAAAAGCGUCGGUAAGGUGAUAUGAACCGUUAUAACCGGCGAUGUCCGAAUGGGGAAACCCAGUGCAAUUCGUUGCACUAUCGUUAACUGAAUACAUAGGUUAACGAGGCGAACCGGGGGAACUGAAACAUCUAAGUACCCCGAGGAAAAGAAAUCAACCGAGAUUCCCCCAGUAGCGGCGAGCGAACGGGGAGCAGCCCAGAGUCUGAAUCAGCUUGUGUGUUAGUGGAACGGUCUGGAAAGUCCGACGGUACAGGGUGAUAGUCCCGUACACCAAAAUGCACAGGUUGUGAACUCGAAGAGUAGGGCGGGACACGUGGUAUCCUGUCUGAAUAUGGGGGGACCAUCCUCCAAGGCUAAAUACUCCUGACUGACCGAUAGUGAACCAGUACCGUGAGGGAAAGGCGAAAAGAACCCCGGCGAGGGGAGUGAAAAAGAACCUGAAACCGUGUACGUACAAGCAGUGGGAGCACCUUUAUGGUGUGACUGCGUACCUUUUGUAUAAUGGGUCAGCGACUUAUAUUCUGUAGCAAGGUUAACCGUAUAGGGGAGCCGCAGGGAAACCGAGUCUUAACUGGGCGUUAAGUUGCAGGGUAUAGACCCGAAACCCGGUGAUCUAGCCAUGGGCAGGUUGAAGGUUGGGUAACACUAACUGGAGGACCGAACCGACUAAUGUUGAAAAAUUAGCGGAUGACUUGUGGCUGGGGGUGAAAGGCCAAUCAAACCGGGAGAUAGCUGGUUCUCCCCGAAAGCUAUUUAGGUAGCGCCUCGUGAACUCAUCUUCGGGGGUAGAGCACUGUUUCGGCUAGGGGGUCAUCCCGACUUACCAACCCGAUGCAAACUACGAAUACCGAAGAAUGUUAUCACGGGAGACACACGGCGGGUGCUAACGUCCGUCGUGAAGAGGGAAACAACCCAGACCGCCAGCUAAGGUCCCAAAGUCAUGGUUAAGUGGGAAACGAUGUGGGAAGGCACAGACAGCCAGGAUGUUGGCUUAGAAGCAGCCAUCAUUUAAAGAAAGCGUAAUAGCUCACUGGUCGAGUCGGCCUGCGCGGAAGAUGUAACGGGGCUAAACCAUGCACCGAAGCUGCGGCAGCGACACGAUGUGUUGUUGGGUAGGGGAGCGUUCUGUAAGCCUGCGAAGGUGACCUGUGAGGGUUGCUGGAGGUAUCAGAAGUGCGAAUGCUGACAUAAGUAACGAUAAAGCGGGUGAAAAGCCCGCUCGCCGGAAGACCAAGGGUUCCUGUCCAACGUUAAUCGGGGCAGGGUGAGUCGACCCCUAAGGCGAGGCCGAAAGGCGUAGUCGAUGGGAAACAGGUUAAUAUUCCUGUACUUGGUGUUACUGCGAAGGGGGGACGGAGAAGGCUAUGUUAGCCGGGCGACGGUUGUCCCGGUUUAAGCAUGUAGGCUGGUUAUCCAGGCAAAUCCGGAUAAUCAAGGCUGAGGUGUGAUGACGAGGCACUACGGUGCUGAAGUAACAAAUGCCCUGCUUCCAGGAAAAGCCUCUAAGCAUCAGGUAACAUCAAAUCGUACCCCAAACCGACACAGGUGGUCAGGUAGAGAAUACCAAGGCGCUUGAGAGAACUCGGGUGAAGGAACUAGGCAAAAUGGUGCCGUAACUUCGGGAGAAGGCACGCUGGUGUGUAGGUGAAGUCCCUGCGGAUGGAGCUGAGACCAGUCGAAGAUACCAGCUGGCUGCAACUGUUUAUUAAAAACACAGCACUGUGCAAACACGAAAGUGGACGUAUACGGUGUGACGCCUGCCCGGUGCCGGAAGGUUAAUUGAUGGGGUUAUCCGUAAGGAGAAGCUCUUGAUCGAAGCCCCGGUAAACGGCGGCCGUAACUAUAACGGUCCUAAGGUAGCGAAAUUCCUUGUCGGGUAAGUUCCGACCUGCACGAAUGGCGUAAUGAUGGCCAGGCUGUCUCCACCCGAGACUCAGUGAAAUUGAACUCGCUGUGAAGAUGCAGUGUACCCGCGGCAAGACGGAAAGACCCCGUGAACCUUUACUAUAGCUUGACACUGAACAUUGAGCCUUGAUGUGUAGGAUAGGUGGGAGGCUUUGAAGCGUGGACGCCAGUCUGCGUGGAGCCAACCUUGAAAUACCACCCUUUAAUGUUUGAUGUUCUAACGUUGGCCCCUUACCGGGGUUGCGGACAGUGUCUGGUGGGUAGUUUGACUGGGGCGGUCUCCUCCCAAAGCGUAACGGAGGAGCACGAAGGUUAGCUAAUCCUGGUCGGACAUCAGGAGGUUAGUGCAAUGGCAUAAGCUAGCUUGACUGCGAGCGUGACGGCGCGAGCAGGUGCGAAAGCAGGUCAUAGUGAUCCGGUGGUUCUGAAUGGAAGGGCCAUCGCUCAACGGAUAAAAGGUACUCCGGGGAUAACAGGCUGAUACCGCCCAAGAGUUCAUAUCGACGGCGGUGUUUGGCACCUCGAUGUCGGCUCAUCACAUCCUGGGGCUGAAGUAGGUCCCAAGGGUAUGGCUGUUCGCCAUUUAAAGUGGUACGCGAGCUGGGUUUAGAACGUCGUGAGACAGUUCGGUCCCUAUCUGCCGUGGGCGCUGGAGAAUUGAGGGGGGCUGCUCCUAGUACGAGAGGACCGGAGUGGACGCAUCACUGGUGUUCGGGUUGUCAUGCCAAUGGCACUGCCCGGUAGCUAAAUGCGGAAGAGAUAAGUGCUGAAAGCAUCUAAGCACGAAACUUGCCCCGAGAUGAGUUCUCCCUGAGACUUUAAGUCUCCUGAAGGAACGUUGAAGACGACGACGUUGAUAGGCCGGGUGUGUAAGCGCAGCGAUGCGUUGAGCUAACCGGUACUAAUGAACCGUGAGGCUUAACCUUACAACGCCGAAG